UACGUAGGGUGCAAGCGUUGUCCGGAAUUAUUGGGCGUAAAGAGCUCGUAGGCGGUUUGUCGCGUCUGCUGUGAAAACUCGGGGCUCAACUCCGAGCUUGCAGUGGGUACGGGCAGACUAGAGUGCGGUAGGGGAGACUGGAAUUCCUGGUGUAGCGGUGAAAUGCGUAGAUAUCGUAAGGAAGACCAGUGGCGAAGGCGGGUCUCUGGACAGUUCCUGACGCUGAGGCACGAAGGUCAGGGGAGCAAACGGG
rnacentral:rRNA from 1 species